rnacentral:lncRNA from 1 species
GGCCUUCAAUCUACCUGUUGACAAAUCUUAAAUUUUGUCACGGUAGAGAGUCUACUGUUCAAUGUCUGACGCAGCCGUUUACCCUUCCGGAGCACCUUUGAUCAACCAGGUUUUAGGUGGGGUUCGUGUACUAGUCUGAAGCUAGUGUUCGUGUUGCUCAGUCUAUGUUGUGAUUUGCCAAUGUUGUUAGUCUUUUUUGUCAUAGUGUUGUCAGUUUCUUUUUGACUUUUGAGUUUGAAUGUCCAUUCAAUUUUUGAUAUCACUGGUCUCUCUUUUUUGAUAAUAAGAUUGCUUUACAAUUACAAAAUGAUUCGUUUAAUAUGUAAUUAAGAUUCUGAAUAUCCCAGAGAGUCAAAUUACAAACACCGUAAAGCACGCG